GUGGGGAAUAUUGGACAAUGGGCGCAAGCCUGAUCCAGCCAUGCCGCGUGAGUGAUGAAGGCCUUAGGGUUGUAAAGCUCUUUUGUCCGGGAAGAUAAUGACUGUACCGGAAGAAUAAGCCCCGGCUAACUUCGUGCCAGCAGCCACGGUAAUACGAAGGGGGCUAGCGUUGCUCGGAAUCACUGGGCGUAAAGGGCGCGUAGGCGGACUCUUAAGUCGGGGGUGAAAGCCCAGGGCUCAACCCUGGAAUAGCCUUCGAUACUGAGAGUCUUGAGUUCGGAAGAGGUUGGUGGAAUUGCGAGUGUAGAGGUGAAAUUCGUAGAUAUUCCCAAGAACACCAGUGGCGAAGGCGGCCAACUGGUCCGAUACUGACGCUGAGGCGCGAAAGCGUGGGGAGCAAACAGGAUUAGAAACCCCAGUAGUCC
rnacentral:rRNA from 1 species